rnacentral:rRNA from 1 species
AAUCGCUAGUAAUCGCAAAUCAGAAUGUUGCGGUGAAUACGUUCCCGGGCCUUGUACACACCGCCCGUCACACCAUGGGAGUUGGAAGCACCCGAAGUCGAUGACCUAACCGCGAGGGAGGAGUCGCCGAAGGUGAAGCCAGUGACUGGGGUGAAGUCGUAACAAGGUAAC